CAGAGGGUGCGAGCGUUGUUCGGAAUUACUGGGCGUAAAGCGCGCGCAGGCGGUCCUUUAAGUCUACCCGUGAAAUGCCGGAGCUCAACUCCGUGCACGCCGGGGGGAUACUGGAGAACUGGAGACGAGUAGAGGCAAGCGGAAUUCCGGGUGUAGCGGUGGAAUGCGUAGAGAUCCGGAAGAACACCGGAGGCGAAGGCGGCUUGCUGGGCUUGGUCUGACGCUGAGGCGCGAAAGCGUGGGGAGCGAACAGGAUUAGAUACCCUGGUAGUCCACGCCGUAAACGAUGGGCACUAGACGCGGGUGGGAUCGACCCCUUCCGUGUCGCAGCUAACGCGCUAAGUGCCCCGCCUGGGGAGUACGGCCGCAAGGCUG
rnacentral:rRNA from 1 species